rnacentral:rRNA from 1 species
UGGGGAAUAUUGGACAAUGGGGGCAACCCUGAUCCAGCCAUGCCGCGUGUGUGAAGAAGGCCUUUUGGUUGUAAAGCACUUUAAGCAGGGAGGAGAGGCUAAUGGUUAAUACCCAUUAGAUUAGACGUUACCUGCAGAAUAAGCACCGGCUAACUCUGUGCCAGCAGCCGCGGUAAUACAGAGGGUGCGAGCGUUAAUCGGAAUUACUGGGCGUAAAGCGAGUGUAGGUGGCUCAUUAAGUCACAUGUGAAAUCCCCGGGCUUAACCUGGGAACUGCAUGUGAUACUGGUGGUGCUAGAAUAUGUGAGAGGGAAGUAGAAUUCCCAGGUGUAGCGGUGAAAUGCGUAGAGAUCUGGAGGAAUACCGAUGGCGAAGCAGCUUCCUGGCAUAAUAUUGACACUGAGAUUCGAAAGCGUGGGUNGCAAAACAGGAUUAGAUACCCUGGUAGUCCACGCCGUAAACGAUGUCUACUAGCCGUUGGGGUCCUUGAGACUUU